AGUGAACGCUGGCGGUAGGCCUAACACAUGCAAGUCGAACGGCAGCACAGUAAGAGCUUGCUCUUACUGGUGGCGAGUGGCGGACGGGUGAGGAAUACAUCGGAAUCUACUUUUUCGUGGGGGAUAACGUAGGGAAACUUACGCUACUACCGCAUACUACCUACGGGUGAAAGCAGGGGAUCUUCGGACCUUGCGCGAUUGAAUGAGCCGAUGUCGGAUUAGCUAGUUGGCGUGGUAAAGGCCCACCAAGGCGACGAUCCGUAGCUGGUCUGAGAGGAUGAUCAGCCACACUGGAACUGAGACACGGUCCAGACUCCUACGGGAGGCAGCAGUAGGGAAUAUUGGACAAUGGGCGCAAGCCUGAUCCAGCCAUACCGCGUGAGUGAAGAAGGCCUUCGGGUUGUAAAGCUCUUUUGUUAGGGAAGAAAAGCAGCAGGUUAAUACCCCGCUGUUCUGACGGUACCCAAAGAAUAAGCACCGGCUAACUUCGUG
rnacentral:rRNA from 1 species